AUUGAACGCUGGCGGCAGGCCUAACACAUGCAAGUCGAACGAGUGGCGGACGGGUGAGUAAUGUCUGGGAAACUGCCUGAUGGAGGGGGAUAACUACUGGAAACGGUAGCUAAUACCGCAUACCAUCGGAUUUGCCCAGAUGGGAUUAGCUAGUAGGUGGGGUAAAGGCUCACCUAGGCGACGAUCCCUAGCUGGUCUGGGAGGAUGACAAGCCACACUGGAACUGAGACACGGUCCAGACUCCUACGGGAGGCAGCAGGGGGAAAUAUGGCACAAUGGGCGCAAGCCUGAUGCAGCCAUGCCGCGGGUAUGAAGAAGGCCUUCGGGUUGUAAAGUACGUUCAGCGGGGAGGCGUUACCCGCAGAAGAAGCACCGGCUAACUCCGUGCCAGCAGCCGCGGUAAUAC
rnacentral:rRNA from 1 species